CUCAGAUCCAUCCCCUAUCCCGCCAUCGGCCUCCCCCAGAUCCCGCGGCCGACAACCCGUCUUCCCCUUCCUUCUGCUGCCCACCUCUCCCCUCGCCUCAGCCACCACCUCUGCUCCUCUCCCCUCUCCUCCCUGGCUGCAGAUCCACCGCAACAAUCCCGUCGCCGACACCCAACACCGCCCCCACCUCCACAGCGACCUCCCUCCCCAUUCCCUCCCCGCACCCGGAAGCCAAGAAAGGAGGCGGCGUACAAGGAGCUGCGCUUGCAUCUCAGCAUCAUGGCGGGCUGCAUCGCCGUCAUCCGCGCCGCCCCCUACAUCCUCCACUACCUCACCCGCGAGCCCGGCAUGACGGAGCUCAAGCUCGAGCUCUAGGGCGGCCCCGCCGCCCCCUCCCCUGCCCCCCUGAGGAGGUGUCUGUGCAAGGGCAGGACAAGGUGUACAAGGACGUGAUCGAGCCGCUGGAGAGCGUCAGCAUCAACAUGACAUCCGUGACCUCAGCCCGCCUGACCCCGCCGUCCGCAAGUGGACCUCAAGAUUGUCGUGUACCACGCCGAUAACGUCCUCGAUGACUUCCUCUAUGAGGUGUUGCGCCGCUGUGCAACCCAGAUUUGCCGCCGCUGCUCCACUGCUCGCAAGGGCUAUGACUUGAUGGUCCCGCUGCAGCUUUGCUCCGCUUGAUAAUUCUUUUACUGUCUGACCUGCUCUGCUCUGCAUAGUUUCUAGUUGGUUAUAAAACCAUAAAACUGUGGUGAUGUGAGGUCCGACUAUGCUUUGUAAUUUUGGUUUCAUCCCCCACCACUCCAGCUAGCUUCUUCUUCACAUCAUAUUAUAUUUGCACCUGCUGUGUAUCAUUGAUUGGAUGGUCACCUACUAUUGCAUCAUAAGUAGCUUAGCUUGUUUUGCCAUUGAAUCAGUCAAUUCUGUUUCACUAUGCUUGUUUCUCGUACUAGGUCUGUCAGUUACAGCAUAAACAAACAAAUUGCUUAGCUCUCAACUCUGAAUACUUAGCUAGGUGAACCUACAUGUUCUUUCUUUCUUUCUUCAGAGCUAUGACUUAUAUGGUUCAAGCUUCUGUUUUUGCUGUGCUCGAGGAUACUAUUGCUGCAUGUAUACUGAUACAUUUGGUGAUAUUGAACUGAACCGAAGUUGUGAAUGUUAUCCUGGGCUCACCUUCCCUUUAAUCAAGUGCGACCCAGCUAGCUGUAUGAAAAACAACAUGUUAGGGAUGAUCACUAUUUGAUAAUCUAGAAUGAAAUUUGCAAUUCAAUAUUCCCUUGAGAUUGAGACACCUCAGUUUGAUAGUAUGCUUGCUCCUCUAGUGUUAAUAGCUUAGUGUUUUGUUUCGGGGUUUCUUAAUGUUCUUGUGCUUUAGGAACAAUACUAUGUUUUUGUAAUCAUGCAGCUGUUUCUUUUGAUUAAAAAUGUGUAUAGAUUAUCCACCUGAGUGACACUAUCCCAAUCAGAUCAUUGUUGACACUAUCAUCAUCAGGUCUUGGUUCCCUUUAUUCUCUCAUGCCUUGUGAUGUUAGUCUGUGUGGGCUUACUAGUAUUGUAGAUGUUGUCUUGAAUGGAUGGUCGUGGUAUUUGAGUAGUACUGUACUUUUCUUCAGGUGAAUGUGUUGCAGUGACGUUCCUUGCAUGACCUGCACUUGUACCAAUAUACCUUGCUGGUACCUAUAGGUUAGUAUUGUUAGUGCCUAACAUGAGCUUGAGUGCUGUAGUGGAAGUGUAGAACAACAGCGGGUUAAUGUGUUUUAUUUGCCGUAUGCAAGUCUGUUGUUUUAUUUGCCCUUUCUAGUAUUGUACAAACUGAUGCAUUCCUGUCAUAAACAAAUUAUUGUAUAAGAUAUGUAAAAGCAAACAUUUCCCUAUGCAAGUCUGUUGUUUUAUUUGCCCUUUCUAGUAUUGUAUGAUACUGUCCAAAUUUAGGACUACUGGGUGGAUCAGCCAUGUUGCUUAUAUUAGUGUUGCCAUUGCAUUUGUUUGGUUCUGGCCUCAGCAACAGUACACUAAUGCUGGUAGAAUUUGUGUUCACUCAUUUCCAGGAGCGCCAGGACAAAUUUGAAGUGUGAAGCCAUGAAACAAGUGCAAAGCCGUGAUGCCUUACUUGCAAGAGAUUUGUUUAUUUUGUUUGACUGUAAUAGACUGUCGAGAUUGUGACAUUGUAACAGAUUUACUAUUAUUUGAUAAAUUACUUUUGUUCUGUUUUGUUUCAAAUAGUGAUUAGAAA